rnacentral:misc_RNA from 1 species
CAACCCUCAAGCUCAGCUUGGUGUUGGGACUCGCGGUAACCCGCGUUCCCCAAAUCGAUUGGCGGUCACGUCGAGCUUCCAUAGCGUAGUAAUCAUACACCUCGUUACUGGUAAUCGUCGCGGCUACGCCGUAAAACAACCCCAUUUCUAA